CUUUGUGGCCAAACCUCCUUAUCAAAGCCUGAUUUUGUCAGAUUGCAGAAGCUAAGCAAGGCUGGGUCUGGUUAGUGCUUGGAUGGCAGACCGCUGGGAAUACCAGGUGCCAUAGUGU
rnacentral:rRNA from 1 species